CCUUCGAUAGUCCAGUUGGUAAAACGGCUGACUGUAGAAUUAUAUAAUAAUCAACAUAUCAAUGGUUCGACUCUGGUUUGAAAGA